rnacentral:lncRNA from 1 species
GGUCCGUGCAGUGAGGUGAAGAAGUGUUUCAGUAUGCCACAGGGCGAUCCAGGAAACAAAAUGGUCAAACGAGGUGUUCCAUCAUCAAUUAACUAUUACAGUUUGUUUCAUACAUAUUCCGGCAUGAUGUGCGGUGCCAUGAAAGAGCAUAUGACUUGUGUGUUGAAGGCGUUGGAGAGCUGUCCAGCUUCAGUUGUAAAUCAGGUUGAGACAAUGUUUGAAAGGGCCUUCAACGUGAGCAUGCCGGACACCUAUGGUGUUGUGUCCUUUGAAGAUUUCAAACACUUUAUCUAGAAGACAUGUCCGAAAUUGCCCAAAGAUUUUUGGCAAGAUUCGUGCUCAAUGGAUGUGUUUGCAUCACAGAACUUCAUAGUGUGCAACGAGAAUUUAACAAUGAAAUAUUCCGAAAACAGGAGCUGCGUGGUACAUGACUUGAGUAAGCAGUGUAUCAUUGAAAACUUGCAGCCCAAAUGUGGUAAAGAAAUCGCAAUGUUUUUAAUACAAAACUCAUACAUGAUUUCCAGACAACUGCGAGGACACAGAUAUCUCAGGAAGUGACGUAAAACGAACCUCAUUCGGAGUACUACUGAUGUCUACCAUUUUCACUCUAUCAUACAUGCUGUAAUAUUUGGGACAAAAACAAAUCCUGUAAUGUGCUUUUAAAACGUUUGCCAUGGAGAAUGCUUCUUCUUUAAAUGUUGGUAAUGAACAAGAUAUCAUUAUUUCUGUCAAAUAGGAAAGUAACAGUGAUAGCCGUUCAAGCAGUUUCGUUUUAAGCUAUAUAUUUUAAGCAUAAAUUAGUUUUGUAGUGCGACAAAUGAGGGGUUUUCGUGUCUUAAUUUCGCUGAUUUCGAAUCACAUGCCACACACCCAUGUGGAUUGGAAUCCUCGCUUGGGGUAAAUUAAUCCAACUAACUUAAGGAAGCCAGUUACUCACCCGUGUCUGAAACAAUACAUGGGGGACUACCUAGGAUGAAUUUUGAGCUAUCGAAACCGGAAAAGACACCAUAUGACCUAAACUUUGUUGAUGCGACUCUAAACCCAACUGGAACAUUUUUUUAACAAUGACAGUGGCUAAUGGUUUAAAAUGUUCGUUUCUUGUAAAAAUAUACGCAAAAGGGUCCUUGUAAACAUCCGUAAGAAGCAUGUUUCUGUUUGUAAUCAAUAGUACAUGUAUAUAAAUUCAUGUUCAAGAUAAUAUGGUCUUCUUAAGGCAUUUAGUAAAUAGGUUCGGGUCGUCUGAUUUGGUCUUCUACUUAUUUACAUAUUUCUAUCAAACCCUGGUAUAAAUUCAAUGUUUCUACAGAAAAAAAAACGAAACAUUUUGAUCUUCCAGAUGAUUCACGUUAAUUAUCAAAGGCGAAUGUGUUUAAAAUAACUUUGUAAAAUCAAACCAAAACAUUUCAAGAAGUGAAAGAUAGCUAUUAGCUAUUAAAAAUGCACCUUAUACAAUGUUUUGAUUUAAGACAUAUACCAAUGAUCAAAAGCAAGAGUCAAAUUGAAAGAUGAUUUCACCAGAGUACCUGGAUGUACAUUUUAUUUCAUUUCCAAAAGUUUAUUAUUAGUACAUUUAAUCUUUAGAAAGAGCCUAAUAUUCCUAGUUUUAUCAGGUAACAGAACAGUUAAAUAUAUUUAUGGCAGUAAGUUUGGUAAAUUAACAUGAAUUAAUAGGUUCGCGAGUUUGCUGAAUAUCCAUCAAGUGGUACAUAAGAAGAAAUAGGUUAAAUCCCUCUCAGUUGCUUGCACAACACGUAUAUAGUCGUUUUUCUAGUCAUUUAGAUUUUGCACUGAAUAUAGUAUCCACACGUACAUAUACUACAUUGUUACUUACUGACAAGUGUCACUCACAUCUUGCAACCUUUCUAGUCAUUAAAGUAAAUAUAAGCAUUUGUAGCUAUUGUAAUAGUUAAUGAUAGUUAAUACUUAUACCAAUUGUAUUCUAUAGCAACCAUAUGCAUUCCACAUUGAUGUUUUAUUUUUUGUAUUAUACUGUUAUAGUUUCAUGCAUGUAAUAUGCUAUGA